rnacentral:rRNA from 1 species
AUUGAACGCUGGCGGCAGGCCUAACACAUGCAAGUCGAGCGGAUGAAGGGAGCUUGCUCCUAGAUUCAGCGGCGGACGGGUGAGUAAUGCCUAGGAAUCUGCCUGGUAGUGGGGGAUAACGUCCGGAAACGGGCGCUAAUACCGCAUACGUCCUGAGGGAGAAAGUGGGGGAUCUUCGGACCUCACGCUAUCAGAUGAGCCUAGGUCGGAUUAGCUAGUUGGUGGGGUAAAGGCCUACCAAGGCGACGAUCCGUAACUGGUCUGAGAGGAUGAUCAGUCACACUGGAACUGAGACACGGUCCAGACUCCUACGGGAGGCAGCAGUGGGGAAUAUUGGACAAAGGGCGAAAGCCUGAUCCAGCCAUGCCGCGUGUGUGAAGAAGGUCUUCGGAUUGUAAAGCACUUUAAGUUGGGAGGAAGGGCAGUAAGUUAAUACCUUGCUGUUUUGACGUUACCAACAGAAUAAGCACCGGCUAACUUCGUG